GAAAGAAAGAAAGAAAGAAAGAAGCUAAAAGAGGAUUUCAUGUCAGAAGUCUAAUUCACUCCUUAAAAGCUGUCAAACCAACUGAGAUACAGGAGGGAUGUCUUUAAAGAUGCCACGCUUAUAGAUUUAGCUCCUAUUGCCCAUCUACUUGACAAACGUUUUUGUUGUUUAAAGCAUUUAUUUUAUUUAAGAAAUUCCUAUGUAUAGGGAAAGUAAUCUUCUUUGUGGUCAUUUUCCCAAUUCCAUUCAACCCAUAUAAUUUACAAAAUACAAGACAUUGUCAAGCUUAUUCAACAUGGUUCCUCAUGCAUCCAAAUGCAUAUAUCCAAAAAAAGCUGGAUAUGACUACUACUACUUAUAGGCCCCAUCUUUUCCAAAGCUACAGCCUAGCUGCAGGAACAGAUCUAGAAAUUUAUGUUAGGGGGGCAAUAUAUAUGAACAUUUACACACGCAAACACACAUGAAUGUGUGCAUUCAUUUUAUAUAAUUACAAAAUGUUCAUAAUUAUUUUAUGUUCAAAAGUAAAAGCAAGCCUAAAAAUAAUAUUUUAUUACUUGUCACAUUUUUUUUAAAUAUUUUUAUAUUUUGAAUUUUUUAUUAAAAUACUUUGAUUAAUUUGCUUUCAAAUAUUAAAGGAGGACAAAUUUUAACUCAAGUGUUUACUCAAAUUUAAUCUCACUUUUACCUAUUAGAUUAAGGCUAUUUUUUUAAUUAGUAUUAUUAAAAUAUUACUUUUUAAUAUAGUAUUAAGUAUUAAUAAAUUAUUAUGGGUGAGAAUUGAAUUGUGUCCCAUUCCCUUUUCUGUAUUUUUAAUGUAAAUUAUUAAAUGAUCAUUUAAGAACUUUUCUAUAAAAAUAGCAAUACAAAAAUAAUAUUACAAAUUAAAAUUUGAUGAAUAUAUGAAAAAAAUUAAAAAUAUUAAUAAUCAAUUUAAAGCUAAACUUAGUAUGUAUAUCAUCAUUUAUUUUAAUUACUAAGAUAAAAAAUUAAGAUUAAAUGAAAAUAAAUUAACAAAUAAUAUGUAAUGGAUAGUUUUGUUUUAGUUUAAACAUUCAAAUAAUAAGUUUAUUUAAGUCAAAAUAUAUUGUUUAAUUUAAGUAAUAAUAAAUAAAAAUAAUCAAUGAAUAAUUUAAAUUUUUAAAUUUGUGGACAAAUUCAAAUUAUUAUGUGAAAAAAAUUAAGCAUGGGAUAAAUAUAAAUUCUUAAAUGUGGGGCAAACUUCAAUAAUUCAAGAGGGAAAAGUUUUUACUAUAUAUAAAUUAAAGGGUCUCUUUGGGGGCAGUGAGGGCAUGUGCCCCCAUUCUGGAUCCAUCCACACCUAGGUGAACAAUGUUUGUCUAUAGAACAUAAAGAAAUCUUGAGUGACAUUGUAUGUAAUCGUGAAUGCAGGAAAACUGAUUGAUAUUACAAAUGCAAAAUCAUAAUGACAGUAACUCUUUCUUUCCUUGCAUUGACUUGUAUUUCAUGAAUUUACAGAACGCAGCAAUAGAGGAUAUAGCAUCAUUAAUAUGUUAUACACAAAAUUUACAGAUAUUUUUUAAAAAUAAAGAUUUUUAUUCAUUGUAUUAUCUCAACAACCACCUCACUAAUAUCCUGGCUUCCUGAAUUAUCUAAUUUGAAUUUUCCCACAUCUCUUUCUUCUCUAAUAACUACCUAUUUCAUAUGCAGAUCUUAUAAAUACUUAAUUUAGGAAGCUAAUACAAACAUAACGUAAGUCAUACAACUAACAUAUACAAACAAGAACUUUAUAGCAUCAGUUUGUAUUCCAAUUUUUCAAAAAUUAAUUUUGACAGUAGAAGCUUGAAGGACAACCUAAAAUCGAAUUAUAAAACUUGCAACACUAAACUUUAUUUUCCUAUUUUGACCAAUGUUCAGAAUAAAUGCAAGAUAUAUCAUGACCAACGGAACUGUAACAACAUUGUGCUGAUGCAACUUACAUGUUUCAAAAGUGCAAUGAAAUCAAAUGCCAGAUUUAAAAGACAAAAUACUGGACUUCCCUUUUUCUUUUUUUUUUGUUGUUGGCUGUGCAACAUGCAAUGGGUGUUGCUCCAAUUCUUGAAACUUUACAAUAUUUGAUUAUGUCUUUAGAAGGGAAAGGGAGGGGAAAGUUGUGAGUUUACAAACAUUUGAGGAUUUGAAAGUGUGCCACAUUCCAGAUAGUGCAAACUAUAUCAGAGAAUCUAUUAAUUACCUAAAAGUUGAAUCCUACGGAUUUAUAUAGAAGUAAGAAAAGAUAGAGAAAUGACCUUUCAAAUCCUGCACUCUGUCCCUCAUUAAGUUCCAAAAUCUCAGUUCAAAAAGUACAGUAGAAAAUUAGAGCAGAAGGCAUACUCACUUUUUAUUCCAACCAAGGUAAUGAACAAAAUAUUUCCAUUCCUUCUUUCGGAGCUCAGCUUUUUGAACCUUGGCCUCAUAGAUGCGAGGACCGUGAUAAGCCAGGACGCGCUCUCCCUCGGAGAAGAGGCCGGAAUUGGAAGGAGGAGCAUCGCCGCUUGAGGCCUCGCCAUCGCUGCCGGAAUCGUCCUUGGAUGAGCUCCCCAUUUUGUUCACCGACGCUGAGAGAGAGAGAGAGAGAGACUUGGGGCUAAAUUCCAGUGGCUACGUCAGUCGUCAGGUAUGAAACUGGCAUCGUUCAUCCCAGAAUUUCUACUUUCUGCUUGCGAGUUUGAAAUAAAGCGGAAACUAUGAAACUAUAGCUUUU
rnacentral:misc_RNA from 1 species